GGUCAUUUUAUACAGGAGAUACAGGUCAUAUUAUACAGGAGAUACAGGUCAUAUUAUACAGGAGAUACAGGUCAUAUAAUAUAGGAGAUACAGGUCAUAGUAUACAGGAG